AGGAUUAACGCUGGCGGCGUGCAUGAAACAUGCAAGUCGAGCGCGGUGCGUGGCUUCGGUCACGCAUCUAGCGGCGCACGGGUGAGUAACACGUGAGCAACCUACCUUCGAGUUCGGGAUAGCCCUGGGAAACCAGGAUUAAUACCGGAUGUGGUCACAACGGGACAUCCCGAUGUGAAAAAAGGCGCAAGCCGCUCGAUGACGGGCUCGCGGCCUAUUAGCUUGUUGGUGGGGUAACGGCCUACCAAGGCGACGAUGGGUAGCUGGUCUGAGAGGACGAUCAGCCACACUGGGACUGAGACACGGCCCAGACUCCUACGGGAGGCAGCAGUUAGGAAUUUUCCGCAAUGGGCGAAAGCCUGACGGAGCAACGCCGCGUGUGUGAUGAAGGCCUUCGGUUGUAAGCACUGUCGGAGGGAAGAAUGAAUGACGGUACCCUCCAAGAAGCCCGGCUAACUACGCGCCAGCAGCCGCGGU
rnacentral:rRNA from 1 species